AUGUUCUUAUCUGGUGAUUCUCAGGAAGAUGCUCAGGAAGCUUCAAGGUUAUCAUUCUUCAUUCUCUUAUUCUUUUUUCGGUGGAUUCAAUUGAAGCUUUCAGUGUUGAUUAUAGCCCUUUCCUCCUUACAAAUGCUUUCUCAUGCCGGUAUAUCUCUUAAUCAUUCCCCGCUUGCUAUUCAAUUGUUCCGGAGUGCUGAAGAUAUCUCUGAAGAUUUGUGUUUCCACUCCGCAUCAAUUCUAACUAUUUCAAGGUUGUUACCUCAUUCAAGCCAUUUAAUUCAACCGGUGCUGUCUCCUUUUCAAGUAAUCAUUUCAACGGUGUUUCUUUUGAGUGGACCCUAA
rnacentral:rRNA from 1 species